rnacentral:rRNA from 1 species
UUUAAAAUCUGGCAGUGGUUCACUGCCCGAGUUGUAAUCUAGAGAAGUGUUGCUCACACUGGACCAUGUAUAAGUCUUCUGGAAUGAAGCGUCAUAGAGGGUGAGAAUCCCGUCUUUGACAUGGACUCCCAGUGUAUUUGUAGCAUGCUCUCAAAGAGUCGAGUUGUUUGGGAAUGCAGCUCUAAAUGGGUGGUAACCUCCAUCUAAAGCUAAAUAUUGGCGAGAGACCGAUAGUGAACAAGUACCGUGAGGGAAAGAUGAAAAGAACUUUGGAAAGAGAGUUAAAAAGUACGUGAAAUUGUUGAAAGGGAAACGCUUGAAGUCAGUCACAUUGGCCAGGGAUCAACUUGCUUAAGUGUACUUCCUGGCUGAUGGGCCAACAUCAGCUUUGACUGUCAGAGAAGGGUAGGGGGAAUGUGGCACCCUUCUUGGGUGUGUUAUAGCCCUCUGUCAUAUAUGGCGGUUGGGGCUGAGGAAUGCAGCGCGCCACAAGGCCGGGUUUCGACCACGU